UGGGGAAUAUUGCACAAUGGGGGAAACCCUGAUGCAGCGACGCCGCGUGAGUGAAGAAGUAUUUCGGUAUGUAAAGCUCUAUCAGCAGGGAAGAAAAUGACGGUACCUGAGUAAGAAGCCCCGGCUAACUACGUGCCAGCAGCCGCGGUAAUACGGAGGGUGCGAGCGUUAAUCGGAAUAACUGGGCGUAAAGGGCACGCAGGCGGUGACUUAAGUGAGGUGUGAAAGCCCCGGGCUUAACCUGGGAAUUGCAUUUCAUACUGGGUCGCUAGAGUACUUUAGGGAGGGGUAGAAUUCCACGUGUAGCGGUGAAAUGCGUAGAGAUGUGGAGGAAUACCGAAGGCGAAGGCAGCCCCUUGGGAAUGUACUGACGCUCAUGUGCGAAAGCGUGGGGAGCAAACAGGAUUAGAUACCCUGGUAGUCCACGCCGUAAACGAUGAGCACUAGGUGUCGGGGUCGCAAGACUUCGGUGCCGCAGUUAACGCAUUAAGUGCUCCGCCUGGGGAGUACGCACGCAAGUGUA
rnacentral:rRNA from 1 species